AGGAGUUUGAUCAUGGCUCAGAGUGAACGCUGGCGGCAGGCCUAAUACAUGCAAGUCGAACGGCAGCACAGCAGAGCUUGCUCUGGUGGGUGGCGAGUGGCGGACGGGUGAGGAAUACGUGGGAAUCUGCCCAGUCGUGGGGGAUAACGUAGGGAAACUUACGCUAAUACCGCAUGCGCCCUUCGGGGGAAAGCCGGGGACCUUCGGGCCUGGCGCGAUUGGAUGAGCCCACGUCGGAUUAGCUAGUUGGCGGGGUAAAGGCCCACCAAGGCGACGAUCCGUAGCUGGUCUGAGAGGAUGAUCAGCCACACUGGAACUGAGACACGGUCCAGACUCCUACGGGAGGCAGCAGUAGGGAAUAUUGGACAAUGGGCGCAAGCCUGAUCCAGCCAUGCCGCGUGAGUGAAGAAGGCCCUCGGGUUGUAAAGCUCUUUUGUCCGGAAAGAAAAGCGCCGGGUUAAUACCCUGGUGUCCUGACGGUACCGGAAGAAUAAGCACCGGCUAACUUCGUG
rnacentral:rRNA from 1 species